AGAGCCAACGGUGGAUGCCUUGGCGCCAAUAACCGAUGAAAGACGUGGGUGACUGCGAAAAGCUAUGACGAGCCGUCUACCAGGCUUUGACUCAUAGAUGUCUGAAUGAGGAAACUCUGCACCCGUCAUGGGGUGUAACUCCGGAGUGAAUACAUAGCUCCGGUAGAGGGAACCAGGGGAAUUGAAACAUCUCAGUACCCUGAGGAAAGAAAAGCAAACGCGACUCCCUUAGUAGUGGCGAGCGAAAAGGGAAAAGACCAAACCGUGUCGGUGCAAUAUCCUGAUGGAGUUGCCGACAGGGGGUUGUGGGACGUUAAGACACUGCAUCAGAAGUGUCACAGAGUUAACAAAUUACUGGGUAGAAGAAUGGUUUCGGAAAAGCCAGCCAUAGUGGGUAAAAGCCCCGUAUUCGAAACUCACGUAAUCUCUGUAACCAAUCCCAAGUAAUGCCGGGACCGAGCAAACUGGCAUGAAUCUGCGGGGACCACCCCGUAAGUCUAAGUAUUUAUUGGCGACCGAUAGUGAACCAGUACCGUGAGGGAAAGGUGAAAAGAACCCCGGGAGGGGAGUGAAAUAGUACCUGAAACCGUUGGUUUACAAACAGUCAGAGAGUCGUUGUACCGUUCGCGGUGCAGCCUCGAUGGCGUGCCUUUUGAAGAAUGAGCCUACGAGUUACGGUAUGUGGCGAGGUUAACCCGUGAGGGGUAGCCGGAGCGAAAGCGAGUCUGAAUAGGGCGUUCAGUCGCAUGCUGUAGACCCGAAGCCAAGUGAUCUUGCCAUGGGCAGGUUGAAGCGGGGGUAAGACCCCGUGGAGGACCGAACACACGUCAGUUGAAAAUGGCGGUGAUGACCUGUGGUUAGGGGCGAAAGACCAAUCAAACUCGGCGAUAGCUGGUUCUCCUCGAAAUGCAUUUAGGUGCAGCGUCAUGCGUUCAGUACCGGAGGUAGAGCACUGGAUGGGUUAGGGGGCCUACAAGCUUACCGACCCCAGCCAAACUCCGAAUUACGGUACUCCAGAGCAUGGCAGUGAGACCACGGGGGAUGAGCUUCGUUGGUCGAAAGGGAAACAGCCCAGAUCAUCAGCUAAGGCCCCUAAUUCAGGACUAAGUGGAAAACGAUGUGGAUUUGCACAGACAGCCAGGAGGUUGGCUUAGAAGCAGCCAUCCUUAAAAGAGUGCGUAACAGCUCACUGGUCGAGUGAAUCUGCGCGGACAAUUUAACGGGGCUCAAGUCCUGAGCCGAAGCUAUGGAUUUCAACAUUUAUGUUGGAGUGGUAGAGGAGCGUUGAUGAUGCGACUGAAGCGACGGGAUAACCCGGCGUGGAGUGUCAUCAAGUGAGAAUGUAGGCAUGAGUAGCGAGAGAGGGGUGAGAAACCCCUCCGCCGUAAGCCCAAGGGUUCCUGGGGAAGGCUAAUCCUCCCAGGGUAAGUCGGGAGCUAAGACGAGGCCGCGAGGCGUAGUCGAUGCACAACUGGUUGAUAUUCCAGUACCGCCAUAUACGCGCCAAGCUCAAUAUCGACAAAGUGGGGGCUGCCUUCGGGCGAACCUGCCUAGUUGGUUGCGGGUAACUGAAGGGGGACGCAGAAGGAUAGGUGAACCGGGGCGAUGGUAGUCCCCGGGUAAGUGCGUAGGAGGAUCCCGAUGAGAGUUGGGGUCACAUACUCUGAGACACGAUGCCGAGCACAUUUGUGCGAAGUCACUAAUUCCAUACUGCCAAGAAAAGCCCAGCAGUGAGUAGAUAUGGCGCCCGUACCCCAAACCGACGCAGGUGGGCGGGUAGAGAAUACCAAGGCGAUCGGGAGAACUAUGGUUAAGGAACUCGGCAAAAUGCCUCCGUAACUUCGGAAGAAGGAGGACCCACGUAGGGUGAAGCGACUUCGCGUCGCCAGCCUGAAUGGGUGGCACAGAGCAGGGGGUAGCGACUGUUUAACAAAAACACAGCAGCGUGCGAAGCCGCAAGGCGCUGUAUACGCUGUGACGCCUGCCCAAUGCUGGAAGGUCACGAGGAUCGGUUAGUCGUAAGGCGAAGCUGUGAAUCUAAGCCCCAGUGAAUGGCGGCCGUAACUAUAACGGUCCUAAGGUAGCGAAAUUCCUUGUCGGGUAAGUUCCGACCUGCACGAAUGGCGUAACGACUUCCCCGCUGUCUCAACCAUAGACCCGGCGAAAUUGAAGUACGAGUAAAGAUGCUCGUUUGCUGCGGAAGGACGGAAAGACCCCGUGGACCUUUACUAUAACUUGAUGUUGAGCUUUGAAAUGGGCUGUGUAGGAUAGGUGGGAGACUGUGAAGCAGGUGCGCUAGCACUUGUGGAGUCAUUGGUGAAAUACCACCCUGCGUAUUUUGGAGCUCUAACUUUGGUCCGUAAUCCGGAUCAGGGACAGCGUCAGGCGGGUAGUUUGACUGGGGCGGUCGCCUCCUAAAUUGUAACGGAGGCGCUCA
rnacentral:rRNA from 1 species